UAGGGAAUCUUCCACAAUGGACGCAAGUCUGAUGGAGCAACGCCGUGUGAGUGAAGAAGGUUUUCGGAUCGUAAAGCUCUGUUGUUGGUGAAGAAGGAUAGAGGUAGUAACUGGCCUUUAUUUGACGGUAAUCAACCAGAAAGUCACGGCUAACUACGUGCCAGCAGCCGCGGUAAUACGUAGGUGGCAAGCGUUGUCCGGAUUUAUUGGGCGUAAAGCGAGCGCAGGCGGAAGAAUAAGUCUGAUGUGAAAGCCCUCGGCUUAACCGAGGAACUGCAUCGGAAACUGUUUUUCUUGAGUGCAGAAGAGGAGAGUGGAAUUCCAUGUGUAGCGGUGGAAUGCGUAGAUAUAUGGAAGAACACCAGUGGCGAAGGCGACUCUCUGGUCUGCAACUGACGCUGAGGCUCGAAAGCAUGGGUAGCGAACAGG
rnacentral:rRNA from 1 species